rnacentral:lncRNA from 1 species
GCCCCUUUUUGGCCCCUAAUUCCUAAACUAUUCAGACCUCAACUCCCAAAAUCAAUCCCAACCUUCCUUUUGUGGUCAUAAACCUUGUGUUUAAAUUUCAUUGAUUUCUAUUUACUUAUACUAAAGUUAUUGUGCGAAAACCAAGAAUAAUGCUUAUUUGCUCCCUUUUUUGGACCCUCAUUCCUAAACUGUUUGAACUAAAACGCCCAAAAUCAAUCCAAA